ACUCAAAGGAAUAGACGGGGGCCCGCACAAGCGGUGGAGCAUGUGGUUUAAUUCGAUGCAACGCGAAGAACCUUACCUACUCUUGACAUCCUGCGAAUCCGGCUGAAAGGCUGGAGUGCCGAAAGGAGCGCAGAGACAGGUGCUGCAUGGCUGUCGUCAGCUCGUGUCGUGAGAUGUUGGGUUAAGUCCCGUAACGAGCGCAACCCUUAUCCUUAGUUGCCAGCACGUAAAGGUGGGAACUUUAGGGAGACUGCCGGUGAUAAACCGGAGGAAGGUGGGGAUGAGGUCAAGUCAUCAUGGCCUUUAUGAGUAGGGCCACACACGUGCUACAAUGGCCAGUACAGAGGGAAGCGAACCUGCGAGGGGGAGCAAAACUCGCAAAGCUGGUCGUAGUCCGGAUCGGAGUCUGAAACUCGACUCCGUGAAGUCGGAAUCGCUAGUAAUCGCGGAUCAGAACGCCGCGGUGAAUACGUUCCCGGGCCUUGCACACACCGCCCGU
rnacentral:rRNA from 1 species